rnacentral:lncRNA from 1 species
GGGCCACACCCACGGCAUGUGGAAGUUCCCAGGCUAGGAGUUGAAUCAGAGCUGCAGCUCCCGGGCUAUGCCACAGCCACAGCCACAGCAACAUGGGAUCCAUGCUACAUCUGUGACCUAUAUCAUAGCUCACAGCAACGCCGGAUCCUUAACCCACUGAGCAAAGCCAGGGAUUGAACCUGUGUCCUCAUGGAUACUAGUCCGUUUUGUUACCACUGAGCUACGAUGGGAACUCCCCCUAUUGGAUAGUAUAUGUCAAGUGAUUUCUCAUUUACAUCAUUAUCUAUGCCUAAACACUACCAAAAUUCAAACAAAUUCCAUGGAGAUAAUAGUGACUCUGGAAAGUUGAUUUCUGCUUCUCCUGAAACAUACAUUCUUCCUUUCCAGAUAUUUUGUCAGUUAGGUACUAUCCAUUAGUGACAACCCAAAGAUCCAGACACUGGAAAUUUCUAAACCUUACCAACUUCUGAUUAGUACUGAGUAACUAGCAUAAGAUAGAUCACAGAUUGGCAAACUAUGGUCCAUGUUCUGUUUCUAUAUGGACUGCCUACUAAGAAUGGACUUAACAUUUUAAAAGAAAGGUAAAUACAAACCAAAUAUGCAAGAGUGAAGGUAGGUGCCUCGCAAAUAUUUAUUCUCUUGCUCUUAAAAAAAAAAAAAAAUGUGCCCAUGCCUGAUAGAUGACUGUUAAAUAAAGUGGGCACAAAAAUUCAGAUAUACAAUUAGCUGCUUUUUAUUUUGGUCAUUCUACUAUUACACCCUUUUUUUUUUGUCUUUUUGCCUCUUGAGGGCCGCUCCCGCGGCAUAUGGAGGUUCCCAGGCUAGGGGCUCCAUCGGAGCUGUAGCUGCCAGCCUACGCCAGAGCCACAGCAACGUGGGAUCUGAGCCGCGUCUGCGGCCUACACCACAGCUCACGGCAACGCCGGAUCCUUAACCCACUGAGCGGGGCCAAGGAUCAAACCCGCAACCUCAGGGUUCCUAGUCGGAUUCGUUAACCACUGAGCCACGAGGGGAACUCCUCUUACACCUAUUUAAACAGUAGUGUUUCUUUUAUGUUACUCUCUUAAAGUUAUUUACCCUUUCUACUCAAAAGAUGGUGCUUUAGGUAACAAAUUUUGUUAUGCCCCUUCAGUUAUUAACAGAGUUAAUCUUUUAACUGAGGAAGGCUCUUAUUUUCUGGCUAUUUCACAUUUCUUUUUCCAAUUUAAAACUCUUACAGAUUCCAUGAUAUGAAACCCUUUGAAUAUUAUAUUUAUUAUAUAAUUUUUUUUUGGCCACACCCACAGCAUGUAGAUGUUCUGGGCCAGGGAUCAAAUCCAUGUCACAGCAGCAAUCCAAGCCAUAGCAGUGACAACGUUGGAUCCAGAUCCUUAACCUGCUUCACCACCUGGAAAGUCCACACAGAGUAGACAUGAUAUUAGAUAUACAAAUUACUAAAAGUGAACUUUUGUAUUGGAACCACUGCUUUAAUUUUUAUGGGCUGGUUUAGGUUAAUAACAUUUGUAAUUUUAUAAAGAAACGGUAUAGAUUAAUGAAAGCAUCAAAUUAUUAGUGGUAUUAACAGGCCCUGAAGUAAAUCGUAUUCCAGAUUUAGGAAAGGCCUCGGAAGGGCUGUGGUAAAAACAAAUGACAGGAUUAACUGGAAAUCUACCAGGAGUAAUUUACUGUUACAAUGUGAUUUAGGAGAUAAAAAACUGAUAAGAUAGGUACUUUUGUGUCAUCCAGAAGCAUCCAACUAAAACAUUAAUAUAUAACUUGGGGAUUAUAACAUAUUGAGAAAGAAUGCUGACUGAUAAAUGCAGGCAUAAUAAGCCUGGUGGAUUAUUCCUGGAAUCUAGAAAAAGAGCUAGAAAUUAAGAAUCUAUUAGUGUUCAGCCAGUGCCACUUUUCCAAAGAGAAGAAAUACUAUGUCUAGUAGAUAUAAUUACUUUGUUUUCCAAAAAAAAAAAAAAAAAAAAGAUAUAAGCUGGAAUCAAAGAAAUAAAUAUUUACGGGCUUUCACAGAAAGGGCCAAACUUAAAUUUGUCUAGGAUCACUGACCCAGCUUUCCUACCAAGUGGCAGAAUGAGGAACUGGCCCACAUCAUUCAGUCCUCAUGGCUCUACUUCCAUGGCCACCAAAAAAUUCCCGAUUUCUAAUUUCGCAUACAGCUAAAUUACAUCAGGAAGAGGCUGCAAUUAGUAUUGCUGAGACUUGAAAUGGAAAAAAUAUUUUUAAAAAUGUAAAUGUACAUGGCUAGCUAUCUUGAGGUCUGAGCAUAUUCUGGUGAGAUAAAUCUAGAUUCGACGUUAAAAAGUGAGAGCAGAGGAGCUCUCUGGCAGCCUAGAGGUUACGAAUCUGGCAUUGUCAAUGCAGUGGCUCAGCUCACUGCUGAGGCACUGGGUUCGAUCUCUGGCCCAGGAAUUUCCAUGUGCCAUGUGUUUCCCCCCAGCCCCCAAAAAGGUGAAAUCAGAGCUUCCAAACAAAUGGGACAAGAGUGUUAGAGGUACAAUGAGCAGAUGGUCCCCUCAGGCCCCAGAGAUGGCUGGAGCCCCUUUAAUCUACCCACAGCAUUCAUUUACCCUGGCGUGCCAUACAAAUAUUAUACUUUCCUAUGUGUGUUAUGAUAUGAAAAAUGUGGGUGGCAGAGAGUUGACACGACUCUGUGGUAAUGCCACCCCAGGCGGCAUCCUGUGUCACUUAAUACAUCCAAUGGAUUGUACUCAUUAAGUAUAUCAUAAAUAAUGGCUAAAUUCCAUCUUGAUGCAAUUAUAAACUCUUCCUUAUGAAUAAUGAGAAAAAUAUUUUUAUAACUUAUCUAAAUUUUUUUUCUUUGCUUUUUAGUGCCACACCUGUGGCAUAUGGAAGUUCCCAGGCUAGGCGUCGAAUUGGAGCUGCAGCUGCUGGCCUCCACCACAGCUGAGCAACACAGGAUCCAAGCUGCGUCUGUGACCUACACCACAACUCACUGCAACGCCAGAUCCUUAGCCUACUAAGCGAGGCCAGGAAUUGAACCCACAUCCUCAUGGAUACUAGUUGGGUUCAUUACUGC